UACGUAGGGUCCGAGCGUUGUCCGGAAUUAUUGGGCGUAAAGGGCUCGUAGGCGGUCUGUUGCGUCGGGAGUGAAAACUUACAGCUUAACUGUGAGCGUGCUUCCGAUACGGGCAGACUUGAGGUAUUCAGGGGAGAACGGAAUUCCUGGUGUAGCGGUGAAAUGCGCAGAUAUCAGGAGGAACACCGGUGGCGAAGGCGGUUCUCUGGGAAUAUCCUGACGCUGAGGAGCGAAAAGUGUGGGGGAGCGAAACAGG
rnacentral:rRNA from 1 species